GUCUGUAAGUGGAACAUGGUAGAAAUGUUCUUCUCCAGGUGUGUUAGGUCCCACAAUGAGGAAGGUAGGUUCUGGUUUUGGAAGCUGACUGGAGCAGGGAUGUGAUUUCCCCAUCUUUUUUAAUGACACCGAGCUUUUAAUGAAUUAAGGCUGGGUUUCUGUGUGCUCAGCUUAUAUCUCACUUAUAAGUGGUAGUUGGUAAUAACCUUAUAUAUUCAGUUUUAAUGAUAACUUAACAAAACAAGGAAGCCCACAGCGGCGUUGCGUGGUUAUCGCUCAUUGUGCGCUCCCGCGAAAUGGCUGCCUGCGCUGUCCUCGCGCCCUUCUCGCGCCAAACGGGCAGUUCAACGGUCGCCAUUUACACUCAAAAGUUAGACAGUCUGCAGUAGCCAUCGACGAGGAUCAUCUUGAGUGAAGACCUCCCACUUAAAAGUCAGACAUGAUGAGGAGACAGGGGACCAUCCAUAGAUUGGAGAAGAUUCUGAACAAAAGAUGUCAUCAUCUUCUGCUCCAUACCCAUCAGAUGAGGGUAAUGAAGAGGGUAACAUUGCUGUCCAACUUUUAAAAUUCAAAACCAGACUGCUUGAAGCAGUGGCAGAACUACAUAUCCACAGGGAUGCAGAGAUACGAUGUGAGGAGCAGAUCAAUAAACUUGUGUUGGAAAAACAAGAAUUAGAAUGGCAGAAGGUAUUUAUUAUGAUGACACAUUAUUAACAGCCAUAUUCUGUUUUUAAUGUAAAAAUGCUGAUGGGUAGAAAGAAGGAAGCACAUAGGUACACCUAUCUGAAACAAUAAAUUCUGAGGAAGAUAGUUGUAUAUGGCA
rnacentral:lncRNA from 1 species